CCUAAGAUUAUAAAUAACUGAACAAACCUGUUCAAGUUUUACACUUGCAAAACCUAUCAUCAUUCCAUUACUUAAAAACAACAACAAAGAAACAAUGGCAGAAAGUGGAGAACCAAAUAAGUUUCUACCAAGUGAGGUUUUGGGGAGUGCAAAGGUGGCAGCAGAAUCAGCACAGACAACUGUGGGGCAACAAUCUGAGAAGGUGGCAACUGCUGCAGAGAAGGCUAAGAAGACCGUAGUUGAGCACGUUGACAGGGCUGCUGAUCAUGUUCAUUCCACACCAGAGGAGCCUCCUAAAUCCGAAGAAGGUGGUGUGCUUGAUGGUGUUAAAAAAGCUGUUGGAGGCUUAUUCAAAUGAAAAGAUAUAUCACUGAUUUUUUUUUAGCAUCUUGAUUUAUUAAUAAGGACACUAAACUUGUCAUCCUUUCUAAGUAUUAAAUGAUGCAUGCGUAUCUUAUCAUGUAACCUAUAGGAAUAUAGGAUAUAUUCCCUCCUAUUUUAUUAUAUAUAUUACUUUCACAUAUACUAAAAAAUAUAUUUAACUUACGAACAAUAUAUUAGUUCAAGUAAUAAGGGAUUUGGACCCUUUAAAUAUUUAGUUAGGGUUCGAUUUCUAACUCAUCUAUGCGUAUAAAAAAUCUGUACGAGGAGAUAAUCCACCUAAGGACAUGUUUUUUUUGAUGGAGAUUAAUCAUCGCUUAGCGGCGGUGAAAUUUCGUAUCAAUAACACGGUAACAAAAAUAAUAUAUUUAACUUUGCAUGAAAUAGAAAAAUUAUAAAUGAUUUUACAUUCUUCAUUAAUGACACGGGAAAGAUAUAUUAAAAGAAAUGGAAGAAAAAAAGAGUAAUAAAUAAUAAAAGGUGAAAAUAGAAUAAUAAAUAGUAUGAUAGAAAAAAUAUUAAUAUUAUGAAUUAAUUUAUAAUUUCAAAGAUUUUGUUUCUUCCACAUUGAGAUAUAAUAAAAUAAGGGGGGAGUACUUGACAAUAAAAAAGUGAGGGAGUCUAAAGUUACCAAACAUAUUUUAUUCCUACAUAUUUUAUGUUUUUAUUCCUAUAUAUAUUACAUAUAUUUUAUGUUUUUAACACUCAAUUUUAUCUUUAUGACAUCUCUAAUCUUCCUAUAUAUAUUUUAUGUUUUUCUUUCUAUUUUACUAUAUUUUAUUCAAUCAUGUUUCCUUUCUUUGUAGUAGUAUUUACAAUCCAUCUAGAAAGCUAAUUCAAUAUUUCACAAGUUUGAAAUAUAUACUACUCCUAUAGCUUAUUCUACAACAAUUGAUAUAUUUGUAAAAAAUGUUCUAAAAGUAAGAAUAAUAGUUAAAGUACCUCUCAACAAUUGAUAUACUACUCCUAUAGCUUAAGAUGAUAGUUAAAGGAACAUAUUACAUAUACCACUCCAAUUCAAUAUAUUUUCCAUCGAUAAUAUAUCAAUAUUUAAUAAGAAUAAUAUUUUAAAAGUACCUCUCAAAAAAAAAGGAGUGGUAGUUAAAGGAUCUCACAGUUUGCCGACAUAAGAGGUAAAUAGUAUUUCAAAGGACACGUAUUCUUACUAUAAUAUUUAUGUAUGAGUCGAUAGGAUAGACCCACGUUAAAAUCUUCAACCACACAAUUUUCAUAGAUAUUUUCUUUUGCAAAAAACCACCCCUAAGUUAUAUAAAUAAUUGAACAACCUUGUUGAAGUAUUACACUUGCAGAACCAAUUAUUCAUUACUUAAAACAAGAAAAAUAAAAAAAACGAAUGGCAGGAACAGGAGAACCAAAUAAGUUUCUACCAAGCGAGGUUUUGGGGAGUGCAAAGGUGGCAGCAGAAUCAGCACAGACAACUGUGGUGAAACAAGGUGAAAAGGUAGCAACUGCUGCAGAGGGUGUUAAGAAGACAGUUGUAGAGCAAAUUGAUAGGGCUGCUGAUUAUGUUCAUUCUAAACCUGUGGAGCCUGCCAAAACCGAAGAAGCUGGUGUGCUUGAUGGUGUUAAAAAGACUGUUGGAGGCUUAUUCAAAUGAAAUAGCAUCUUGAUUAAUUAAUAAGGACAUUGAAUUUGCCAUCCCUUUAAGUAUUGAUUGUUGUAUAUCUUAUCAUGUAAUCUAUAGGAUAGGAUAUACUAAUGUCUGAUUGUGGAUCAUAUAUAUAAGUUUCCACGUUACUGUUUGAACCAACAUCCUGCACCUGUUUAUGUUUUUAUUCCUAAUUUUGUUGCAUAUACUUCAUGUUGGAACAUUGAUAUAAUGUUAGGAAGAAAAAUUGAAAGAUUAAGUAAUUAUAUUUUGAUCUAAUAUUGUGUGAAUUAAAAAAAUAGAGUGUGGGGGUCCCACAUAAAAUAGAACAUACACAUUAUUAGUGUUUAAAUUCCGAUAUUUAAUUUUAAAUAUUUGAUAAUGAUAAAAAUAAUAGUAAUUAUUAUUUUUAUUCGAAUAUCACUUUUCAUAAAUUUAACUUAUGGUGGUUGUGAUAAGAAUAAGAAUUUAAUUAAAUUUCUUAUAUUUC
rnacentral:lncRNA from 1 species